AACGAACGCUGGCGGCAUGCCUAACACAUGCAAGUCGAACGAGACCUUCGGGUCUAGUGGCGCACGGGUGCGUAACGCGUGGGAACCUGCCCUUAGGUUCGGAAUAACUCCCCGAAAGGGGUGCUAAUACCGGAUAAUGUCUUCGGACCAAAGAUUUAUCGCCUUUGGAUGGGCCCGCGUUGGAUUAGCUAGUUGGUAGGGUAAAAGCCUACCAAGGCGACGAUCCAUAGCUGGUCUGAGAGGAUGAUCAGCCACACUGGGACUGAGACACGGCCCAGACUCCUACGGGAGGCAGCAGUGGGGAAUAUUGGACAAUGGGCGAAAGCCUGAUCCAGCACUGCCGCGUGAGCGAUGAAGGCCUUAGGGUUGUAAAGCUCUUUUACCCGGGAUGAUAAUGACAGUACCGGGAGAAUAAGCUCCGGCUAACUCCGUG
rnacentral:rRNA from 1 species